UCAUCAAGCUCCAACUCCCCUGCCACAGGCAGGGCCACCAAUCUCAUAUCUAAUACUAGACCAGGCUGCCCAGGGCCCCAUCCAACCUGACAUUGAACACCCCCAGGGACGGGGCAUCCACAACCAACAGUCCCUGGAGAAGUUGAAGAAACUUGUAGAUGUGGUACUUAGGGACAUGCUUAGUGGGCAUGCUGGGGGUUGGCUGAUGGUUGGACUACACGAUCUUGAGUGUCACAGUAACCAGACAAAAGCUGAGCAAGCUGACCUGAUUUUCCUGCAUGUGAAAGGCCUGCCAAAAGUACUUCAGACUGCUUAAUUUAUUCCUCAUGAGAACACAGAAAGAGCUCGAGAUGGGUUCAUUGCAACUGCUUCUGCUCAUUGAAGUCUCUAGCAAUCUUCUACUUGCAGGAAUUGUUGCCUACCAAAUUCAUUCUGGGACAGUGCCAAGGAUUAAUGAUAUCAUAUCAUACCCAUAAUGAAGAACAGGAUUUCUACAAAUUAGACCAAGAACACAAUCAGUACUUUCUGAGUUUUGGCACAAAAUUUCAUAGUAUGCCUGAGUUAGGGCAUGGUUGAUACCACACUAAUAAAGAAGAGAAACCAACAGACCAUCACAGAGAUUAUGUGUUCUAGCAAUUUUUAUUUGUAAGAUAACACUAUAAUAGAGGUAUCCUGCUAUCUGUGAUUUAGAGAAACUAUGGAGACACUCCCAAUUAAAGUGGAGACCAAGCCACCAGAGCAGCAUCAACAAUCAUGAACACACUUGGACUUACCUUACCUUUGCAUGGCUGACCAUUUGGCUUAAUAGCAGAAUUUCAGUUAAGCAGAACUGUU